AACACCAGGAGGGAUUUUCAGCUGUUCCCUCUGAGUAGGACCCUCCCCCUUGCUUCCUGCCUUGAAAUGCUUCCCUGGGCUGGGCUGCUUGGGCGUUCAGUCUGUUCUAAGUCACCUUUCCCCGUCCUUGGUCCUUGGGACAACUGUGUCUUGUUGCGCAGCUGGAGCAGAGACUGCCUUGACACGGGGCGGGCCGGGCCGCCAAAACCUGAAAGUACUGCAGAAGGCUUGGGGCUGCUCCUUCCUCCUUCCCUGAGCACCUCCUCCCACCCCGGCACCUGGGGACUAGAGCCGUAGCAGCCACGUAAAUCCUUAGCGUUGAGAUGGCUGCAUCCUGGGGUCCCUACCCAAGAAUUCGAGUUUUGAGUGAGGAUACACGGAGCUCAGCAUAGCUCACAGGAAAGAUCCAGCCCCAACAACUGCAGUUGAAACUUCCAGCGACAGAGGUGGCGGUGAACGUGGUCUGAAGACACAUGCGAUCGUGAUAAUGGAACGCUCCCUAAUGGGAUGACAUGCUUUAUAACCCUGAACUAAUCGGAAUUAGCCAAAAGUGGAAACAAAAAACUGCCGGCUGGUACAAUGUCCCUUAUUUCCCUCAGCAGUUAUUUUUAGUCUUCAAGAAACACUUGGUAGUUUAGUUUUUACCUUUGUCCUCAGGUUCAAUAAAACACCACACAAUAAUGAAAUUGAA